rnacentral:rRNA from 1 species
CGAAAGCCUGACGGAGCAACGCCGCGUGAGGGACGAAGGCCUCUGGGCUGUAAACCUCUUUUCUCAAGGAAGAAGAUAUGACGGUACUUGAGGAAUAAGCCACGGCUAAUUCCGUGCCAGCAGCCGCGGUAAUACGGGAGUGGCAAGCGUUACCUGGAAUUAUUGGGCGUAAAGCGUCCGCAGGCGGCCUUUCAAGUCUGCUGUUAAAGCGUGGAGCUUAACUCCAUUAUGGCAGUGGAAACUGAUCGGCUUGAGUAUGGUAGGGGCAGAGGGAAUUCCCGGUGUAGCGGUGAAAUGCGUAGAUAUCGGGAAGAACACCAGUGGCGAAGGCGCUCUGCUGGGCCAUUACUGACGCUCAUGGACGAAAGCCAGGGGAGCGAAAG